rnacentral:misc_RNA from 1 species
GGAAGUAAAAGUGUAACAAGGUUUCCGUAGGUGAACCUGCGGAAGGAUCAUUAAUGAGUUGUCAUGGGGUUCGAUGCUGGCAGCCAGUUUUUGGAUGCAUGUGCUUGCCCUAACAAUCAUCUUCUUCCAAACACCUGUGCACAUUUUUGAGGGAGUCUUGAGUUGGUUGCCGCUCUUGGGUGAUUUUCUCACAUUCCCUUAAAUCAUUAUACGCUAUUAACAAUGUUGAACGUGCUCUGUGCCGCAAGGCCAUUAAUAUAAUACAACUUUUAACAACGGAUCUCUUGGCUCUC